rnacentral:rRNA from 1 species
GACGAACGCUGGCGGCGUGCUUAACACAUGCAAGUCGAGCGGUAAGGCUCCUUCGGGAGUACACGAGCGGCGAACGGGUGAGUAACACGUGAGUAAUCUGCCCUUCACUUCGGGAUAACCGCCGGAAACGGUGGCUAAUACCGGAUACGACGCACUCUCGCAUGGGAUGUGCGUGGAAAGUCUUCUCGGUGAAGGAUGUGCUCGCGGCCUAUCAGCUUGUUGGUGAGGUAACGGCUCACCAAGGCUUCGACGGGUAGCCGGCCUGAGAGGGUGACCGGCCACACUGGGACUGAGACACGGCCCAGACUCCUACGGGAGGCAGCAGUGGGGAAUAUUGGACAAUGGGCGAAAGCCUGAUCCAGCAACGCCGCGUGAGGGAUGACGGCCUUCGGGUUGUAAACCUCUUUCAGUACCGACGAAGCGCCAACAACGGUGGUGACGGUAGGUACAGAAGAAGGACCGGCCAACUACGUGCCAGCCGCCGCCGUAAAAC